rnacentral:rRNA from 1 species
UACAGAGGGGGCAAGCGUUAUUCGGAAUUAUUGGGCGUAAAGGGCGCGUAGGCUGCUUUGCAAGUGACGGGUGAAAUCCCUCGGCUUAACCGAGGAACUGCCUGUCAAACUGCAUGGCUUGAGACCGGGAGAGGUGAGUGGAAUUCCCAGUGUAGCGGUGAAAUGCGUAGAUAUUGGGAGGAACACCAGUGGCGAAGGCGACUCACUGGACCGGUACUGACGCUGAUGCGCGAAAGCGUGGGGAGCAAACAGG